rnacentral:rRNA from 1 species
UACGUAGGGGGCUAGCGUUGUUCGGAAUUACUGGGCGUAAAGGGCGCGUAGGCGGCCUGCUAAGUCGGAUGUGAAAUGCCGGGGCUCAACCCCGGGACUGCGUCCGAUACUUCCGAGCUGGAGGUAGGUAGGGGAGAUCGGAAUUCCUGGUGUAGCGGUGAAAUGCGCAGAUAUCAGGAGGAACACCGGUGGCGAAGGCGGAUCUCUGGGCCUUACCUGACGCUGAGGCGCGAAAGCUAGGGGAGCGAACAGG